UGCAGACUGAGGUGGAGCAGUGUGGAUGGAAGAUGACAAAAACUGGAGGCACAGAAUGUGAAGGUGAAGCGUGUCUCCUCGUUUGAGCUGUACUCCAGACAAAUUUUGGGGAUCCAAUCCUGAGGGAUCAAACUUUCGGAACAGAAACCUUUUGCUGUUCUAGCAGGGGAUUAAGAAGCUCAAGGUCCCUUGACGUCCACCAGAUGGGAUAAGGGGAUGGUCCCUGAAGCUGAUGUCACUAUGAUCGAGAGCACAUUAUAGUCAGAUGCCUCUGAACUGGCUAACAAAAGCUAUUUAGAUGUGAGACUGCUCCAUUGUUCCCUCGCUCUAUCUCCCUGCCAUGUUCUUCUUCUCCCACUGUUAAAAACCGGAAGGCAUAUUCAUGAGGGAAGCAUAAUUAACCAGUCAGGGUUUGGAUGACUUCCAGAUGGAUGAGUUAUUAUUGCCAUUAUUGAUACUGGCUGGUAUGAGCCCUGCUAUCUGGGAUUAAUGCUGUUAGAAUUUAGAAGCCCGACACCAUCUUACCACUUAGUCCCAUGAUGAAUAGUGUUAGGCAAAGUCGUUUGCACUGACACUCACUUACUUCCCCUCAUUUUAUGUACUUUGCUUGCCUUAUUAAGGCUCUUACCACUGGCUUAAUUGCCUAUUU